rnacentral:rRNA from 1 species
AUUGAACGCUGGCGGCAGGCCUAACACAUGCAAGUCGAACGAGUGGCGGACGGGGGAGUAAUGUCUGGGAAACUGCCUGAUGGAGGGGGAUAACUACUGGCAACGGUAGCUAAUAACGCAUACCAUCAGAUGUGCCCAGAUGGGAUUAGCUAGUAGGUGGGGUAAAGGCUAACCUAGGCGACGAUCCCUAGCUGGUCUGAGAGGAUGACCAGCCACACUGGAACUGAGACACGGUCCAGACGCCUACGGUAGGCAGCAGUGGGGAAUAGUGCACAAUGGGAGCAAGCCUGAUGCAGCCAUGCCGCGUGUAUGAAGAAGGCCUUCGGGUUGUAAAGUACUUUCAGCGGGGAGGCGUUACCCGCAGAUGAAGCACCGGCUAACUCCGUGCCAGCCGCCGCGGUAAUUC